rnacentral:lncRNA from 1 species
AGAGACUUGAGCAUCUGUGGAUUUUGGUGUCUGCAGCAGGUCCUGGAACCAGUCCCCUUCGGAUAUCAAGGGAGGAUUGUACAACAGAGUUUUCUUUGGCUGGUGGCAGAUGAGGAGGUCAGAGAGAUUCAAAGCAUGAGAAGGAUUUGGCAUGUCCUUGCUGGCUUUGAAGAUAGAGGGACCACACUCAAGGACCAGAGAGAAGCCACAGUUGCUGACAGUGACCCUUCACCAACAGCCAGCAAGGAAAUGGACCUCAGCCCUGUGGCUGCAUGAAACUGAAUUCUGCCAGCAACCCCCAAAGAACUUGGAAGUGUGUUCUUUCCCACAGCACCCAGAUGAGAGCCCAGCCAAGCUGACACCCUGAUUUCAGCCCCUGAGUAGAGAAUCCAGUAGAGUCUGCCUGAACUUCUGACCCAUAGAAAUGUGAGAUAAUAAAAGGGUGUUGUUUUAAACCAUUAAAUUUCUAGUAAUUCAUCACAAAGCAAUAGAAAAC